rnacentral:rRNA from 1 species
AGCGAACGCUGGCGGCAGGCUUAACACAUGCAAGUCGAGCGGGCGUAGCAAUACGUCAGCGGCAGACGGGAGAGUAACACGUGGGAACGCGCCCUACGGUUCGGAAUAACUCAGGGAAACUUGAGCUAAUACCGGAUACGCCCUAACGGGGAAAGAUUUAUCGCCGAAGGAACGGCCCGCGUCGGAUUAGCUAGUUGGUGAGGUAAUGGCUCACCAAGGCGACGAUCCGUAGCUGGUCUGAGAGGAUGGCCAGCCUCACUGGGACUGAGACACGGCCCAGACUCCUACGGGAGGCAGCAGUGGGGAAUAUUGGACAAUGGGCGCAAGCCUGAUCCAGCCAUGCCGCGUGGAUGAUGAAGGCCUUAGGGUUGUAAAGUCCUUUUAACGGGGAAGAUAAUGACGGUACCCGUAGAAUAAGCCCCGGCUAACUUCGUGCCAGCCGCCGCAGUAA